rnacentral:rRNA from 1 species
AGUCAAGUAAUUAAGUGCAUGUGGUGGAUGCCUUGGCAGUCAGAGGCGAUGAAAGACGUGAUAGCCUGCGAAAAGCUCCGGGGAGGCGGCAAAUAUCCUUUGAUCCGGAGAUGUCUGAAUGGGGGAACCCACCUACUUUAAGGUAGGUAUUGCAACAUGAAUACAUAGUGUUGCAAGGCGAACGAGGGGAAGUGAAACAUCUCAGUACCCUUAGGAAAAGAAAUCAAUUGAGAUUCCCUCAGUAGCGGCGAGCGAACGGGGAUCAGCCCAUUAAGUUAUGUGUGUUUUAGUGGAACGCUCUGGGAAGUGCGAACGUAGAGGGUGAUAUUCCCGUACACGAAAGGGCACACAUAAUGAUGACGAGUAGGGCGAGGCACGUGAAACCUUGUCUGAAUAUGGGGGGACCAUCCUCCAAGGCUAAAUACUCCUGACUGACCGAUAGUGAACCAGUACCGUGAGGGAAAGGCGAAAAGAACCCCUGUGAGGGGAGUGAAAUAGAUCCUGAAACCGCAUGCAUACAAGCAGUGGGAGCACCUUCGUGGUGUGACUGCGUACCUUUUGUAUAAUGGGUCAGCGACUUAUAUUCAGUAGCGAGGUUAACCGUAUAGGGGAGCCGUAGAGAAAUCGAGUCUUAAUAGGGCGUUUAGUUGCUGGGUAUAGACCCGAAACCAGGCGAUCUAUCCAUGAGCAGGUUGAAGGUUGGGUAACACUAACUGGAGGACCGAACCCACUGUCGUUGAAAAGCCAGGGGAUGACUUGUGGAUAGGGGUGAAAGGCUAAUCAAGCCUGGUGAUAGCUGGUUCUCCCCGAAAGCUAUUUAGGUAGCGCCUCGGACGAAUACCAUAGGGGGUAGAGCACUGUUUCGGCUAGGGGGUCAUCCCGACUUACCAAACCGAUGCAAACUCCGAAUACCUAUGAGUACUAUCCGGGAGACAGACUGCGGGUGCUAACGUCCGUAGUCAAGAGGAAAACAAUCCAGACCGCCAGCUAAGGCCCCAAAAUCAUAGUUAAGUGGGAAACGAUGUGGGAAGGCAUAGACAGCUAGGAGGUUGGCUUAGAAGCAGCCACCCUUUAAAGAAAGCGUAAUAGCUCACUAGUCGAGUCGGCCUGCGCGGAAGAUGUAACGGGGCUAAAACUAUGUGCCGAAGCUGCGGAUGUAUACUUUGUAUACGUGGUAGGGGAGCGUUCUGUAAGCCGAUGAAGGUGUGUUGAGAAGCAUGCUGGAGGUAUCAGAAGUGCGAAUGCUGA